AUUGAACGCUGGCGGAAUGCUUUACACAUGCAAGUCGAACGAUGAAGUCUAGCUUGCUAGACGGAUUAGUGGCGAACGGGUGAGUAAUAUAUCGGAACGUAUCCAAUAAUGGGGGAUAACUAGUCGAAAGAUUGGCUAAUACCGAAUACGUCCUACGGGAGAAAGCUGGGGAUCGUAAGAACUGGCGUUAAUGGAGCGGCUGAUAUCUGAUUAGCUAGUUGGUGAGGUAAAGGCUCACCAAGGCGACGAUCAGUAGCUGGUCUGAGAGGACGACCAGCCACACUGGAACUGAGACACAGUCCAGACUCCUACGGGAGGCAGCAGUGGGGAAUUUUGGACAAUGGGCGAAAGCCUGAUCCAGCCAUUCCGCGUGAGUGAAGAAGGCCUUCGGGUUGUAAAGCUCUUUCGCAAGGGAAGAACACUUACUUAAUAACACUAAGUGAGGUUGACGGUACCUUGAUAAGAAGCACCGGCUAACUACGUGCCAGCCGCCGCGGUAA
rnacentral:rRNA from 1 species